GACGAACGCUGGCGGCGUGCUUAACACAUGCAAGUCGAGCGGUAAGGCCCUUUCGGGGGUACACGAGCGGCGAACGGGUGAGUAACACGUGGGUGACCUGCCUUUAGCCCUGGGAUAAGCCUGGGAAACCGGGUCUAAUACCGGAUAUGACUCCGCGGCGCAUGUUGUGGGGUGGAAAGCCUUGUGCGGCUGGAGAUGGGCCCGCGGCCUAUCAGCUUGUUGGUGGGGUGAUGGCCUACCAAGGCGACGACGGGUAGCCGGCCUGAGAGGGCGACCGGCCACACUGGGACUGAGACACGGCCCAGACUCCUACGGGAGGCAGCAGUGGGGAAUCUUGCGCAAUGGGCGAAAGCCUGACGCAGCGACGCCGCGUGAGGGAUGACGGCCUCGGUU
rnacentral:rRNA from 1 species